GGCUCAGAACGAACGCUGGCGGCGCGCCUAAUACAUGCAAGUCGAGCGAGAAGGUGUAGCAAUGCACUUGUAAAGCGGCGAACGGGUGAGGAAUACAUGGGUAACCUACCCUCGAGUGGGGAAUAACUAGCCGAAAGGUUAGCUAAUACCGCAUACGUUUCCGGGGCUUCGGUUCCGGAAAGAAAGCAAUACCGUGGGUAUUGCGCUCAUGGAUGGGCUCAUGUCCUAUCAGCUUGUUGGUGAGGUAACGGCUCACCAAGGCUUCGACGGGUAGCUGGUCUGAGAGGACGAUCAGCCACACUGGCACUGCGACACGGGCCAGACUCCUACGGGAGGCAGCAGUAAGGAAUAUUGCGCAAUGGACGAAAGUCUGACGCAGCGACGCCGCGUGGGGGAUGAAGGUCUUCGGAUUGUAAACCCCUUUCGGGAGGGAAGAUGGAGUGGGUAACCACUUGGACGGUACCUCCAGAAGCAGCCACGGCUAACUUCGUGUCAGCAGCCGCGGUAAUACGAAGGUGGCAAGCGUUGUUCGGAUUCACUGGGCGUACAGGGAGCGUAGGCGGUUGGGUAAGCCCUCCGUGAAAUCUCCGGGCCUAACCCGGAAAGUGCAGAGGGGACUGCUCAGCUAGAGGAUGGGAGAGGAGCGCGGAAUUCCCGGUGUAGCGGUGAAAUGCGUAGAGA
rnacentral:rRNA from 1 species